AUGCAACACAUUUACACUGGGCUGCAGACACCAAGUCAGGAUAUCUACUCUGACAUCCCAGCAGGGGUGAAACCGCCUGGAAGACACACAGACCAGGCAAGCGCCAUGGAUUCGCAUGCAACAGUAGCUGAAGGGUUUGUUAUCGUUACUCACAAGUACCCUCUUAAAGGUGCUGGCCAGGUUGUGCCAGGAACAGUGGCAAGCCAGCUGCCAUGGCCGCUGCAGACAUUUCUACGAGGACAGCCCAAAGCUUUGGGGGUCGUGCAAAUACUAAUUGGGAUUGUGAGUCUGCUGUUUGGUCUAGUCCUGGUGAGUGCGUACACGUUUGCAGGAAUCAUUGGAUUACCUUUCUGGACUGGUGUAUGGGUAAGGAAAAUAAGCAAGACCUUCUUUUCUUCAUGGAUUUUACCCCAGACUUUCUUCACAAAUUGAAAUGUCCAAUUCGAAUGUCACAGAGUAUGCUCCAAACAGAGCAGAGAAAUAAAACGUCCCUUACAUCCAGAUCAGAUUCCAAU